CCCCAAACUUCUCCUCGGCUCGUCUUCAUCUUCAGGCAGGUGAGCUCCUCUGGUUCUCUCCCGGUCUCCCCCUCGAGCCAGCGCUUCGAGCUCACUUGUUCUCUUUUUGUGCUUGUGCUCUGCUGCUGCUUGUGGUGCUCUGCUGUGUUGUUGCCUGAUCGCUUGCUGCUAUCCCAUUGCUGGUCUAACACAUACAGUAUAACUUGUAUAACUUGUAUGUGUUAGACUAAUUGUGGAUAGAUUGAUCUAGACUGAAACCUGAUUUUGUAUCCUGUUUUCCGUCGACAAAUAUACAAGUUAUAUCAGCAAGUUACUGUAUGUGUUAGAGAAAUCAGUGUUGAUUUAUUUGUUCUUUUUUUCUUUCUAAUUUUUGCAUGAGAGCAAACUGGUGUAGCUAGCUGGACUAUGCAGCCAUGAAUCAGGAAGUAGCAUAUUCAAUUUUGCUAAUGGAAAAUUGAAGGAAAUAUGCCCUAGAGACAAUAAUAAAGUUAUUAUUUAUUUCCUUAUAUCAUGAUAAAUGUUUAUUAUUCAUGCUAGAAUUGUAUUAACCAGAAACAUAAUACAUGUGUGAAUACAUAGACAAACGGAGUGUCACUAGUAUGCCUCUACUUAACUAGCUCGUUAAUCAAAGAUGGUUAUGUUUCCUAACCAUGAACAAAGAGUUGUUAUUUGAUUAACGGGAUCACAUCAUUAGGUGAAUGAUCUGAUUGACAUGACCCAUUCCAUUAGCUUAGCACCCGAUCGUUUAGUAUGUUGCUAUUGCUUUCUUCAUAACUUAUACAUGUUCCUAUGACUAUGAGAUUAUGCAACUCCCGUUUGCCGGAGGAACACUUUGUGUGCUACCAAACGUCACAACGUAAAUGGGUGAUUAUAAAGGUACUCUAAAGGUGUCUCCAAAGGUACAUGUUGGGUUGGCGUAUUUCGAGAUUAGGAUUUGUCACUUGGAUUGUCGGAGAGGUAUCUCUGGGCCCUCUCGGUAAUGCACAUCACAUAAGCCUUGCAAGCAUUGCAACUAAUGAGUUAGUUGCAAGAUGAUGUAUUACGGAACGAGUAAAGAGACUUGUCGGUAACGAGAUUGAAAUAGGUAUUGAGAUACCGACGAUCGAAUCUCGGGCAAGUAACAUACCGAUGACAAAGGGAACAACGUAUGUUGUUAUGCGGUCUGACCGAUAAAGAUCUUCGUAGAAUAUGUAGGAGCCAAUAUGAGCAUCCAGGUUCCGCUAUUGGUUAUUCACCGGAGAUGUGUCUUGGUCAUGUCUACAUUGUUCUCGAACCCGUAGGGUCCGCACGCUUAAGGUUUUGAUGAUAGUUAUAUUAUGAGUUUAUGAGUUUUGAUGUACCGAAGUUAGUUCGGAGUCCCGGAUGUGAUCACCGACAUGAUGAGGAGUCUCGAAAUGGCCGAGACAUAAAGUUUGAUAUAUUGGACGGCUAUAUUCGGACACCGGAAGUGUUCCGGGUGAUUUCGGAGAAAACCGGAGAGCCGGAGGGUUACCGGAACCCCCCGGGAGAAGUAAUGGGCCAUAUGGGCCUUAGUGGAGAGAGAGAGAGGGGCAGCCAAAGGUGGGCCGCGCGCCUCCUCCCCCCUGGUCCGAAUUGGACUAGGAGAGGGGGGGGGGGGCGCCCCCCUUUCCUUCUCCCUCCCCACUUCUUUCCCCCUCCUAGUAGGAGUCCUACUCCUACUAGGAGGAGGACUCCUCCUUGGCUCGCCAUAGGGGCCGGCCGGCCUCCUCCCCUUGAUCCUUUAUAUACGGGGGCAGGGGGCACCCUUAGACACACAAGUUGAUCCACGUGAUCAUAUUCUCAGCCGUGUGCGGUGCCCCCUUCCACCAUAAUCCUCGAUAAUAUUGUAGCGGUGCUUAGGCGAAGCCCUGCGAACGAUAGCACAUCAAGAUCGUCACCACGCCGUCGUGCUGACGGAACUCUUCCCCGACACUUUGUUGGAUCGGAGUCCGGGGAUCGUCAUCGAGCUGAACGUGUGCUAAAACUCGGAGGUGCCGUAGUUUCGGUGCUUGAUCGGUCGGGCUGUGAAGACGUACGACUACAUCAACCGCGUUGUGCUAACGCUUCCGCUGUCGGUCUACAAGGGUACGUAGAUCACACUCUCCCCUCUCGUUGCUAUGCAUCACCAUGAUCUUGCAUGUGCGUAGGAAUUUUUUUGAAAUUACUACGUUCCCCAACAGUGGCAUCCGAGCCUAGGUUUUAUAUGUUGAUGUUAUAUGCACGAGUAGAACACAAGUGAGUCGUGGGCGAUAUAAGUGAUACUGCUUACCAGCAUGUCAUACUUUGGUUCGGCGGUAUUGUUGGACGAAGCGGCCCGGACCGACAUUACGCGUACGCUUACAUGAGACCGGUUCUCCCGACGUGCUUUGCACAUAGGUGGCUUGCGGGUGACAGUUUCUCCAACUUUAGUUGAACCGAGUGUGGCUACGCCCGGUCCUUGCGAAGGUUAAAACAGCACCAACUUGACAAACUAUUGUUGUGGUUUUGAUGCGUAGGUAAGAUUGGUUCUUGCUUAAGCCCGUAGCAGCCACGUAAAACUUGCAACAACAAAGUAGAGGACGUCUAACUUGUUUUUGCAGGGCAUGUUGUGAUGUGAUAUGGUCCAGACAUGAUGCUAAAUUUUAUUGUAUGAGAUGAUCAUAUUUUGUAACCAAGUUAUCGGCAACUGGCAGGAGCCAUACUUUAUCACUAAGCGGUAGCGAUAGUCGUGGAAGCAUAAGAUUGGCGAGACGACAACGAUGCUACGGUGGAGAUCAAGGUGUCACGCCUGUGACGAUGGUGAUCAUGACGGUGCUUCGAAUAUGGAGAUCACAAGCACAAGAUGAUGAUGGCCAUAUCAUAUCACUUAUAUUGAUUGCAUGUGAUGGUUAUCUUUUAUGCAACUUAUCUUGCUUUGAUUGACGGUAGCAUUAUAAGAUGAUCUCUCACUAAUUAUCAAGAAGUGUUCUCCCUGAGUAUGCACCGUUGUGAAAGUUCUUCGUGCUGAGACACCAGGUGAUGAUCGGGUGUGAUAGGCUCUACUUUCAAAUACAACGGGUGCAAAACAGUUGCACAUGCGGAAUACUCAGGUUAUACUUGACGAGCCAAGCAUAUACAGAUAUGGCCUCGGAACACGGAGACCAAAAGGUCGAGCAUGAAUCAUAUAGUAGAUAUGAUCAACAUAGUGGUGUUCACCAAUGAAACUACUCCAUCUCACAUGAUGAUCGGACAUGGUUUAGUUGAUUUGGAUCACGUAAUCACUUAGAGGAUUAGAGGGAUGUCUAUCUAAGUGGGAGUUCUUUAAGUAAAUUAAUUGAACCUAAAUUUAUCAUGAAACUUAGUACCUGAUAGUAUCUCGCUUGUUUAUGCUUGAUUGUAGAUAGAUGGCUCGUGCUGUUGUUCCGUUGAAUUUUAAUGCGUUCCUUGAGAAAGCAAAGUUGAAAGAUGAUGGUAGCAAUUACACGGACUGGGUCCGUAACUUGAGGAUUAUCCUCAUUGCUACACAGAAGAAUUACGUCCUGGAAGCACCGCUGGGUACCAGGCCUGCUGCUAGAGCAACACCAGAUGUUAUGAACGUCUGGCAGAGCAAAGCUGAUGACUACUCGAUAGUUCAGUGUGCCAUGCUUUACGGCUUAGAAUCGGGACUUCAAUGAUGCUUUGAACGUCAUGGAGCAUAUGAGAUGUUCUAGGAGUUGAAGUUAAUAUUUCAAGCAAAUGCCCGGACUGAGAGAUAUGAAGUCUCCAAUAAGUUCUAUAGCUGCAAGAUGGAGGAGAACAGUUAUGUCAAUGAGCAUAUACUCAAAAUGUCUGGGUAUAAUAAUCACUUGAUUCAAUUGGGAGUUAAUCUUCCAGAUGAUUGCGUCAUUGACAGAAUUCUCCAAUCACUACCACCAAGCUACAAGAGCUUCGUGAUGAACUAUAAUAUGCAAGGGAUGAAUAAGACUAUUCCCGAGCUCUUCGCAAUGCUAAAAGCUGCGGAGGUAGAAAUCAAGAAGGAGCAUCAAGUGUUGAUGGUUAACAAGACCACUAGUUUCAAGAAAAAGGGCAAAGGGAAGAAGAAGGGGAACUUCAAAAGGAACAGCAAGCAAGUUGCUACUCAAGAGAAGAAACCCAAACCUGGACCUAAGCAUGAAACUGAGUGCUUCUAGUGCAAGCAGACUGGUCACUAGAAGCGGAACUGCCCCAAGUAUUGGGCGGAUAAGAAGGAUGGCAAGGUGAACAAAGGUAUAUGUGAUAUACCUGUUAUUGAUGUGUACCUUACUAAUGCUCGCAGUAGCACCUGGGUAUUUGAUACUGGUUCUGUUGCUAAUAUUUGCAUCUCGAAACAGGGACUACGGAUUAAGCGAAGAUUGGCUAAGGACGAGGUGACGAUGCGCGUGGGAAACGGUUCCAAAGUCGAUGUGAUCGCAGUCGGCACGCUACCUCUACAUCUACCUUCGGGAUUAAUAUUAGACCUAAAUAAUUGUUAUUUGGUGCCAGCGUUAAGCAUGAACAUUAUAUCUGGAUCUUGUUUGAUGCGAGACGGUUAUUCAUUUAAAUCUGAGAAUAAUGGUUGUUCUAUUUAUAUGAGUAAUAUCUUUUAUGGUCAUGCACCCUUAAAGAGUGGUCUAUUUUUAUUGAAUCUCGAUAGUAGUGACACACAUAUUCAUAGUGUUGAAGCCAAAAGAUGCAGAGUUGAUAAUGAUAGUGCAACUUAUUUGUGGCCCUGCCGUUUGGGUCAUAUCGGUAUAAAGCGCAUGAAGAAACUCCAUACUGAUGGGCUUGUGGAACCACUUGAUUAUGAAUCACUUGGUACUUGCGAACCGUGCCUUAUGGGUAAGAUGACAAAAACACCGUUCUCCGGUACUAUGGAGAGAGCAACAGAUUUGUUGGAAAUCAUACAUACAGAUGUAUGUGGUCCGAUGAACGUUGAGGCUCGUGGCGGAUAUCGUUAUUUUCUCACCUUCACAGAUCACUUAAGCAGAUAUGGGUAUAUCUACUUAAUGAAACACAAGUCUGAAACAUUUGAAAAGUUCAAAGAAUUUCAGAGUGAAGUUGAAAAUCAUCGUAUCAAGAAAAUAAAAUUCCUACGAUCUGAUCGUGGAGGAGAAUAUUUGAGUUACGAGUUUGGUGUACAUUUGAAAAAUUGUGGAAUAGUUUCGCAACUCACGCCACCCGGAACACCACAGUGUAAUGGUGUGUCCGAACGUCGUAAUCGUACUUUACUAGAUAUGGAGCGAUCUAUGAUGUCUCUUACUGAUUUACCGCUAUCAUUUUGGGGAUACGCUCUAGAGACGGCCGCAUUCACGUUAAAUAGGGCACCAUCAAAAUCCGUUGAGAUGACGCCUUAUGAACUGUGGUUUGGCAAGAAACCAAAGUUGUCGUUUCUGAAAGUUUGGGGCUGCGAUGCUUAUGUGAAAAGGCUUCAACCUGAUAAGCUCGAACCCAAAUCGGAGAAAUGUGUCUUCAUAGGAUAUCCAAAGUAAACUAUUGGAUACACCUUCUAUCACAGAUCCGAAGGCAAGACUUUUGUUGCUAAAUUCGGAAACUUUCUGGAGAAGGAGUUUCUCUCGAAAGAAGUGAGUGGGAGGAAAGUAGAACUUGACGAGGUAACUGUACCUACUCCCUUAUUGGAAAGUAGUACAUCACAAAAACCUGUUUCUGUGACACCUACACCAGUUAGUGAGGAAGCUAAUGAUGAUGAUCAUGAAACUUCGGAACAAGAUACUACUGAACCUCGUAGAUCAACCAGAGUGAGAUCCGCGCCAGAGUGGUACGGUAAUCCUGUUCUGGAAGUCAUGCUACUAGAUCAUGAUGAACCUACGAACUAUGAAGAAGCGAUGGUGAGCCCAGAUUCCGCAAAAUAGCUUGAAGCCAUGAAAUCUGAGAUGGGAUCCAUGUAUGAGAACAAAGUAUGGACUUUGGUUGACUUGCCCGAUGAUCGGCAAGCAAUUGAGAAUAAAUGGAUCUUCAAGAAGAAGACUGACACUGACAGUAAUAUUACUGUCUACAAAGCUCGACUUGUCGCAAAAGGUUUUCGGCAAGUUCAAGGGAUUGACUACGAUGAGACCUUCUCACCCGUAGUGAUGCUUAAGUCUGUCUGAAUCAUGUUAGCAAUUGCCGCAUUUUAUGAUUAUGAAAUUUGGCAGAUGGAUGUCAAAACUGCAUUCCUAAAUGGAUUUCUGGAAGAAGAGUUGUAUAUGAUGCAACCAGAAGGUUUUGUCUAUCCAAAGGGAGCUAACAAAGUGUGCAAGCUCCAGCGAUCCAUUUAUGGACUGGUGCAAGCCUCUCGGAGUUGGAAUAAACGCUUUGAUAGUGUGAUCAAAGCAUUUGGUUUUAUACAGACUUUUGGAGAAGCCUGUAUUUACAAGAAAGUGAGUGGGAGAUCUGUAGCAUUUCUGAUAUUAUAUGUGGAUGACAUAUUACUAAUUGGAAAUGAUAUAGAAUUUCUGGAUAGCAUAAAGGGAUACUUGAAUAAGAGUUUUUCAAUGAAAGGCCUCGGUGAAGCUGCUUACAUAUUAGGCAUUAAGAUCUAUAGAGAUAGAUCAAGACGCUUAAUUGGACUUUCACAAAGCACAUACCUUGACAAAGUUUUGAAGAAGUUCAAAAUGGACCAGGCAAAGAAAGGGUUCUUGCCUGUGUUACAAGGUGUGAAGUUGAGUAAGACUCAAUGCCCGACCACUGCAGAAGAUAGAGAGAAAAUGAAAGAUGUUCCCUAUGCUUCAGCCAUAGGCUCUAUCAUGUAUGCAAUGUUGUGUACCAGACCUGAUGUGUGCCUUGCUAUAAGUCUAGAAGGGAGGUACCAAAGUGAUCUAGGAGUGGAUCACUGGACAGUGGUCAAGAACAUCCUGAAAUACCUGAAAAGGACUAAGGAUAUGUUUCUCAUAUAUGGAGGUGACAAAGAGCUCAUCAUAAAAGGUUACAUUGAUGCAAGCUUUGACACCGAUCCGGACGAUUCUAAAUCGCAAACCGGAUACGUGUUUACAUUAAACGGUGGAGCUGUCAGUUGGUGCAGUUCUAAACAAAGCGUUGUGGCGGGAUCUACAUGUGAAGCUGAGUACAUAGCUGCUUCGGAAGCAGCAAAUGAAGGAGUUCAUAUCCGAUCUAGGUGUCAUACCUAGUGCAUCGGGUCCAAUGAAAAUCUUUUGUGACAAUACUGGUGCAAUUGCCUUGGCAAAGGAAUCCAGAUUUCACAAGAGAACCAAGCACAUCAAGAGACGCUUCAAUUCUAUCCGGGAUCUAGUCCAGGUGGGAGACAUAGAGAUUUGCAAGAUACAUACGGAUCUGAAUGUUGUAGACCCUUGACUAAGCCUCUUCCACGAGCAAAACAUGAUCAGCAGCAAGGCUCCAUGGGUGUUAGAAUCAUUACUGUGUAAUCUAGAUUAUUGACUCUAGUGCAAGUGGGAGACUGAAGGAAAUAUGCCCUAGAGGCAAUAAUAAAGUUAUUAUUUAUUUCCUUAUAUCAUGAUAAAUGUUUAUUAUUCAUGCUAGAAUUGUAUUAACCGGAAACAUAAUACAUGUGUGAAUACAUAGACAAACGGAGUGUCACUAGUAUGCCUCUACUUAACUAGCUCGUUAAUCAAAGAUGGUUAUGUUUCCUAACCAUGAACAAAGAGUUGUUAUUUGAUUAACGGGAUCACAUCAUUAGGUGAAUGAUCUGAUUCACAUGACCCAUUCCAUUAGCUUAGCACCCGAUCGUUUAGUAUGUUGCUAUUGCUUUCUUCAUAACUUAUACAUGUUCCUAUGACUAUGAGAUUAUGCAACUCCCGUUUGCCGGAGGAACACUUUGAGUGCUACCAAACGUCACAACGUAAAUGGGUGAUUAUAAAGGUACUCUACAGGUGUCUCCAAAGGUACAUGUUGGGUUGGCGUAUUUCGUGAUUAGGAUUUGUCACUCCGAUUGUGGGAGAGGUAUCUCUGGGCCCUCUCGGUAAUGCACAUUACAUAAGCCUUGCAAGAUUGCAACUAAUGAGUUAGUUGCGAGAUGAUGUAUUACGGAACGAGUAAAGAGACUUGCCGGUAACGAGAUUGAAAUAGGUAUUGAGAUACCGACGAUUGAAUCUCGGGCAAGUAACAUACCGAUGACAAAGGGAACAACGUAUGUUGUUAUGCGGUCUGACCGAUAAAGAUCUUCGUAGAAUAUGUAGGAGCCAAUAUGAGCAUCCAGGUUCCGCUAUUGGUUAUUGACCGGGGACGUGUCUCGGUCAUGUCUACAUUGUUCUCGAACCCGUAGGGUCCGCACGCUUAAGGUUUCGAUGACAGUUAUAUUAUGAGUUUAUGAGUUUUGAUGUACCGAAGUUAGUUCGGAGUCCUGGAUGUGAUCACGGACAUCACGAGGAGUCUCGAAAUGGUCGAGACAUAAAUAUUGAUAUAUUGGACGGCUAUAUUCGGACACCGGAAGUGUUCCGGGUGAUUUCGGAGAAAACCGGAGAGCCGGAGGGUUACCGGAACCCCCCCGGGAGAAGUAAUGGGCCAUAUGGGCCUUAGUGGAGAGAGAGGGGGGCAGCCAAAGGUGGGCCGCGCGCCUCCUCCCCCCUGGUCCGAAUUGGACUAGGAGAGGGGGGGGCGGCGCCCCCCUUUCCUUCUCCCUCCCCACUUCUUUGCACUAGGAGGAGGACUCCUCCUUGGCGCGCCAUAGGGGCCGGCCGGCCUCCUCCCCUUGAUCCUUUAUAUACAGGGUCAGGGGGCACCCCUAGACACACAAGUCGAUCCACGUGAUCAUAUUCUCAGCCAUGUGCGGUGCCCCCUUCCACCAUAAUCCUCGAUAAUAUUGUAGCGGUGCUUAGGCGAAGCCCUGGGACGAUAGUACAUCAAGAUCGUCACCACGCCGUCGUGCUGACGGAACUCUUCCCCGACACUUUGCUGGAUCGGAGUCCGGGGAUCAUCAUUGAGCUGAACGUGUGCUAAAACUCGGAGGUGCCAUAGUUUCGGUGCUUGAUCGGUCGGGCCGUGAAGACGUACGACUACAUCAACCGCGUUGUGCUAACGCUUCCGCUGUCGGUCUACAAGGGUACGUAGAUCACACUCUCCCCUCUCGUUGCUAUGCAUCACCAUGAUCUUGCGUGUGCGUAGGAAUUUUUUUGAAAUUACUACGUUCCCCAACAAAAAUAAAUGUAUUAAAAACUUUAAAAACUGCAUAAUAAGUGCUUGUUCAUGUUUGGUUUUCUCUAAACUUUGUUUGUAUGAUUGAGGGCAAAUUUACUUGGUUCUUUUCUCUAAACUGUGCUUGGAACAUUCGUUUUUAUGAUCUAAAAUUUCCUUCCCGUGAUGAUGCAGGUGCCCAGUUUGUGCUCGCUAUCGAAGGAGCUCCAUGUUGAAGAAGAUUGAAGACACUUGUAGAGCUACAGGGUUAACACCAGGGCACCGUAUCACAUGUAGAGCUUGUAUAUGUUAGAGCUUAUUAUGUGUAGAGCUUGUAAAGUAUAUGUUAUGUGUACAAUAGGAGCUCUGUACUGAAUCUGGCUGAUAAUGUUUGGAGCAUUAUGUGUGUGUUUUGUUUGUGCCAAUUUAAAUACUGGUUAUUUA
rnacentral:lncRNA from 1 species